AUUGAACGCUGGCGGCAGGCCUAACACAUGCAAGUCGAGCGGAUGAAGGGAGCUUGCUCCUGGAUUCAGCGGCGGACGGGUGAGUAAUGCCUAGGAAUCUGCCUGGUAGUGGGGGAUAACGUCCGGAAACGGGCGCUAAUACCGCAUACGUCCUGUGGGAGAAAGUGGGGGAUCUUCGGACCUCACGCUAUCAUAUGAGCCUAGGUCGGAUUAGCUAGUUGGUGGGGUAAAGGCCUACCAAGGCGACGAUCCGUAACUGGUCUGAGAGGAUGAUCAGUCACACUGGAACUGAGACACGGUCCAGACGACUACGGGAGGCAGCAGUGGGGAAUAGUGGACAAUGGGCGAAAGCCUGAUCCAGCCAGGCCGAGUGUGUGAAGAAGGUCUUCGGAUUGUAAAGCACUUUAAGGUGGGAGGAAGGGCAGUAAGUUAAUACCUUGCUGUUGUGACGUUACCAACAGAAUAAGCACCGGCUAACUUCGUG
rnacentral:rRNA from 1 species